AAAGACUCUCGGCAACGGAUAUCUCGGCUCUUGCAUCGAUGAAGAACGUAGCGAAAUGCGAUACUUGGUGUGAAUUGCAGAAUCCCGUGAACCAUCGAGUUUUUGAACGCAAGUUGCGCCCGAAGCCAUUAGGCUGAGGGCACGCCUGCCUGGGUGUUGCACAU
rnacentral:rRNA from 1 species